CCUCUUCGUGCCGGACACCGCGGCCGCCACCGAGGCGCUGCUGCGCCACGUGCCCGUCGACGCCGGCCAAAUGCUGGUCGGCCUCUCCGACGCACACACCGAGGGAGUGUUUGUCACUGAUGCGGAUGAGCGUCUGUCGGACAUGGAGUUCCACGAGUGGCUACCCGGGCAGCCGGACGACGGGGGCGGCGGAGGCGCCGGCGAGGACUGCGUGGCGCUGCACUCGCACGGCUUCCUGGCCGACGUGUCCUGCGAGCUGCCGCUGCGCUACGUCUGCGAGUGGCUGCCGUGACCACCGUGUCUGCUUCGCCACCAGCCAGACAUCGCCUCUCACAGCCGCGCACAAAUGAUAUCUCAGGAUGGACCUUACACUUUUCUCACGAAGGAAGCGUCUUCGGUUUAUCCAACACAUUUCGGUGGAGAAACAACGAGCUGUUCGAAAUAGUCUUACAGAUAAAUAAUACGCAAGAAUUCUCAGCGUUGAGCCGAGCUGUAAAUAAUUAAGACACAUGAACUCUAGAACCACUAGUCAAGUAUGGCCCCCUUACACAGAAGCAUACGCACUCGACUCGUGCGCAAAGCAGAGAUAAGGAGUGGGCGUAUGGUGGAGAAAGACGGAGACCAAGGUGGAAAUAAAGUCUGUAAAGGCAUGAAAAGACAA